rnacentral:rRNA from 1 species
UACGUAGGGGGCAAGCGUUGUCCGGAAUCAUUGGGCGUAAAGAGCUCGUAGGCGGCUUGUCGCGUCGUCCGUGAAAACCUGGGGCUCAACCCCAGGCUUGCGGUCGAUACGGGCAGGCUCGAGUUCGGUAGGGGAGACUGGAAUUCCUGGUGUAGCGGUGAAAUGCGCAGAUAUCAGGAGGAACACCGGUGGCGAAGGCGGGUCUCUGGGCCGAUACUGACGCUGAGGAGCGAAAGCGUGGGGAGCGAACAGG